ensembl:lncRNA LINC00987 long intergenic non-protein coding RNA 987
CUUUCAGCUAAGCUGUAGACCUCUAGCAGAUGAACGACAUAUUUUCCUGAAGGGUGUGAAGAGGAUACUGACCCACCAGAAAGAGACCCCACUGCUAGAACGAAUAAGAUGUGCUGAAAGCCGGAGCAUAACUUGGCCAUUCCCAAGAUUUAACAACAAACUAACUACCCAUCAUUAACAGUAAAGCAGAAAGAAAACAAUCAGUAAGAGAUUAUAUAGACCUA